UUCUCUCAGAUUCGAGAAUAAAAUGCAACGUUAUUUUAAUUGUCAGAAAGACAAAUAAAUAUUCCCACAUGGAUAAACAACAACACAUUGUCCACGCGUUCGAACAGAAACAAUAAAAAUCAAAAUUACAAAAAAAAGAUGUUAAGAAAAUGACAAAAGCUUUACAAGACACAGGCCGAUCAGGUGUUACAAUUACCAGCAUAAAAAAUCGACUAUUCAUAAAAUGCAACAAGUAGAAAAGUCGACUUUUAACUAAAUGCAAAUAGUCGUUUCAACUAUAGAACCCUAUUAUGUAUUAAUAUUUUAAUCUUAAGCGGCGUGUGGUCAACGAUGUAAUUUAAACCGGAGAUGGCUACAGAGACAUCAAAGUGGAAAAUUUUACCGGUCCAUUCAUCAUCAUCGCAUACUACGGCAAUCACAUUCAAGUUGACUACGACUGUACCUACUAUGGUAUUCAAAAGAUUAAUCGUCGAUCGGUUAAUCGAUCAAUUUUUGACGAUUAAUCGUUCGAAUAAAUGAAAAUUUCCAAAUUUCAAAUAACGAAUAAACCGAAUAAUUUAUAUCAA